GGAGGGAUGGCCGAGUGGACUAAGGCGGCAGUCUUGAAAACUGCUGUGCGCUACGCGCACCGUGGGUUCGAAUCCUACUCCCUCCG
rnacentral:tRNA from 1 species